rnacentral:rRNA from 1 species
CGGACGGGUGAGUAAUGUCUGGGAAACUGCCUGAUGGAGGGGGAUAACUACUGGAAACGGUAGCUAAUACCGCAUAACGUCGCAAGACCAAAGAGGGGGACCUUCGGGCCUCUUGCCAUCGGAUGUGCCCAGAUGGGAUUAGCUAGUAGGUGGGGUAACGGCUCACCUAGGCGACGAUCCCUAGCUGGUCUGAGAGGAUGACCAGCCACACUGGAACUGAAACACGGUCCAG